UACGUAGGGUGCAAGCGUUGUCCGGAAUUAUUGGGCGUAAAGGGCGCGUAGGUGGCCCCUCAAGCGUGCGGUGAAAGUCAGGGGCUCAACCCCUGAUCGGCCGUGCGAACUGGGGAGCUUGAGCACUGUAGAGGCAGGCGGAAUUCCGGGUGUAGCGGUGGAAUGCGUAGAGAUCCGGAAGAACACCGGUGGCGAAGGCGGCCUGCUGGGCAGUUUUGCUGACACUGAGGCGCGACAGCGUGGGGAGCAAACAGG
rnacentral:rRNA from 1 species